AGUGAACGCUGGCGGUAGGCCUAACACAUGCAAGUCGAACGGCAGCACAGUAAGAGCUUGCUCUUACGGGUGGCGAGUGGCGGACGGGUGAGGAAUACAUCGGAAUCUACUUUUUCGUGGGGGUUAACGUAGGGAAACUUACGCUAAUACCGCAUACGACCUACGGGUGAAAGCAGGGGAUCUUCGGUCCUUGCGCGAUUGAAUGAGCCGAUGUCGGAUUAGCUAGUUGGCGGGGUAAAGGCCCACCAAGGCGACGAUCCGUAGCUGGUCUGAGAGGAUGAUCAGCCACACUGGAACUGCGACACGGUCCAGACUCCUACGGGAGGCAGCAGUGGGGAAUAUUGGACAAUGGGCGCAAGCCUGAUCCAGCCAUACCGCGUGAGUGAAGAAGGCCUUCGUGUUGUAAAGCCCUUUUGUUGGGAAAGAAACGCAGCAGGUUAAUACCCCGCUGUUCUGACGGUACCCAAAGAAUAAGCACCGGCUAACUUCGUG
rnacentral:rRNA from 1 species